CAUAAUAUUUCAGGUUUAUGAUUUAAGGGAAAGCAAGUUCUAUGGAAUAGUAAGAAGGGAGGUGACAAAAAUGGAGACUUCAUUUUCGAAACGCCAAAAGUAUUUGUAGAAAAAAUUGCAACUCAAGAUGAAAAACUUCUUCCGUUCGUGAACCUGUUAACUCGAGAGAAUACGGUAUUUCUAUCAUUGCAAAAUCUACUAUUUUAAUUUGGCAAAGUACUCGAAUGAAUAUUUCAAGAUGAGGAUAAAAAUACCUACUGUUGUCUUCUGUAAACACACAAAGAGGAAACAUAAAAGUAUUCGUGUGAGAAUAUAUCUGGAUGAGAAAUUUUGUGGAGAUUUCCAAAAAGUUUAUAUAAAUGUUUCUUGGGCUGGUAGUAGAGGCAGAAUAAUGGUAAAAUGUGGAUAUUCAUUAAACAGGAAUCUGUAAUUAUAUAGUUGCCUUACGCUGUGGUAUAGAUGGCAGUGACAAAAACGGUUACAAGUCGUUUAAUAUACAUGUUUUGUAAUGCACUGGAUUUAUAAUAAAUCUUAAGCUGGAAUUGUAUGUGAAUUAGAAUUAUAGAAUCGAUUUGCCUUUAUAAAAAAAUGCAUAAACAUCUACUAUCCCUA